rnacentral:rRNA from 1 species
UACGUAGGGUGCAAGCGUUAAUCGGAAUUACUGGGCGUAAAGCGUGCGCAGGCGGUUGUGUAAGACAGAUGUGAAAUCCCCGGGCUCAACCUGGGAACUGCAUUUGUGACUGCAAGGCUAGAGUACGGUAGAGGGGGAUGGAAUUCCGCGUGUAGCAGUGAAAUGCGUAGAUAUUGGGAGGAACACCAGUGGCGAAGGCGGCGCGCUGGACCGGUUCUGACGCUGAGGCGCGAAAGCGUGGGGAGCAAACGGG